rnacentral:rRNA from 1 species
CACGUAGGGGGCGAGCGUUGUCCGGAUUCAUUGGGCGUAAAGGGUGUGUAGGUGGCGCGCUAAGUCGGGUGUGAAAUUUCGGAGCUUAACUCCGAAACUGCAUUCGAUACUGGCGUGCUUGAGGACUGGAGAGGAGACUGGAAUUCAUGGUGUAGCAGUGAAAUGCGUAGAGAUCAUGAGGAAGACCAGUGGCGAAGGCGGGUCUCUGGACAGUUCCUGACACUGAGACACGAAGGCCAGGGGAGCAAACGGG